AGAGUUUGAUCCUGGCUCAGGACGAACGCUGGCGGCGUGCCUAACACAUGCAAGUCGAGCGAGGUCCAUCCAGUGGCAACACUGGGGACGACCUAGCGGCGAACGGGUGAGUAACACGUGAGGAACCUGCCCCGAAGACCGGGAUAACCCGAGGAAACUCGAGCUAAUACCGGAUACCCCCACGAGAUCGCAUGAUCUUGUGAGGAAAUGUCUUUUCGCUUCGGGAGGGCCUCGCGGCCUAUCAGCUUGUUGGCGGGGUAACGGCCCACCAAGGCAUCGACGGGUAGCUGGUCUGAGAGGACGAUCAGCCACACUGGGACUGAGACACGGCCCAGACUCCUACGGGAGGCAGCAGUGGGGAAUCUUGCGCAAUGGGCGAAAGCCUGACGCAGCAACGCCGCGUGGGGGAUGAAGGCUCUCGGGUUGUAAACCCCUUUCAGGAGGGACGAAAUUGACGGUACCUCCAGAAGAAGCCCCGGCCAACUACGUGCCAGCAGCCGCGGUAACACGUAGGGGGCGAGCGUUGUCCGGAUUUAUUGGGCGUAAAGAGCUCGUAGGUGGCUCGGUAAGUCGGGUGUGAAAUUUCGAGGCUCAACCUCGAGACGCCACCUGAUACUGCUGUGGCUAGAGUCCGGUAGGGGAGCGUGGAAUUCCUGGUGUAGCGGUGAAAUGCGCAGAUAUCAGGAGGAACACCAGCGGCGAAGGCGGCGCUCUGGGCCGGUACUGACACUGAGGAGCGAAAGCGUGGGGAUCAAACAGGAUUAGAUACCCUGGUAGUCCACGCCGUAAACGUUGGGCACUAGGUGUGGGGUUCUAUCAACGGACUCCGUGCCGAAGCUAACGCAUUAAGUGCCCCGCCUGGGGAGUACGGCCGCAAGGCUAAAACUCAAAGGAAUUGAC
rnacentral:rRNA from 1 species